GGAGAGGUGUCCGAGUGGUUUAAGGAGCACGCCUGGAAAGCGUGUAUGUGGUCAACGCUGCAUCGCGGGUUCGAAUCCCGCCCUCUCCGCCA
rnacentral:tRNA from 1 species